rnacentral:tRNA from 1 species
GUCCCUGUAGCGCAAUGGAUAGCGCGUUGACUUCUAAUCUAAAGGCCGUGGUUUUCGAACCCCACCUGGGAUG